GACGAACCGGCCAAACGUUAUCCGGAAUCACUGGGUUUAAAGGGUGCGUAGGCGGAUAGAUAAGUCAGGGGUGAAAGCUCCCAGCUUAACUGGGGAAUUGCCUUUGAUACUGUUUAUCUUGAAUUAUGUUGAGGUUAGCGGAAUGUGACAUGUAGCGGUGAAAUGCAUAGAUAUGUCAUAGAACACCAAUUGCGAAGGCAGCUAGCUAGGCAUAUAUUGACGCUGAGGCACGAAAGCGUGGGGAGCGAACAGG
rnacentral:misc_RNA from 1 species